AUUGAACGCUGGCGGCAUGCCUUACACAUGCAAGUCGAACGCGAAAGCGGAGCAAUCCGCAAGUAGAGGGGCGAACGGGUGAGUAAUAUAUCGGAACAUUUCCAGUAGCGGGGGAUAACCUGUCGAAAGAUAGGCUAAUACCGCAUACGACCUACGGGUGAAAGCGGAGGACCGCAAGGCUUCGCACUAUUGGAGUGGCCGAUAUCGGAUUAGCUAGUUGGUGGGGUAAAAGCCCACCAAGGCUACGAUCCGUAGCUGGUCUGAGAGGACGAUCAGCCACACUGGAACUGAGACACGGUCCAGACUCCUACGGGAGGCAGCAGUGGGGAAUUUUGGACAAUGGGCGCAAGCCUGAUCCAGCCAUGCCGCGUGAGUGAAGAAGGCCUUCGGGUUGUAAAGCUCUUUCGGUGGGGAAGAAAAGGUACGUGCUAAUACCACGGACUAAUGACGGUACCCGAAGAAGAAGCACCGGCUAACUACGUGCCAGCAGCCGCGGUAAUACGUAGGGUGCAGGCGUUAAUCGGAAUUACUGGGCGUAAAGCGUGCGCAGGCGGUUUGCUAAGACAGAUGUGAAAUCCCCGGGCUUAACCUGGGAACUGCGUUUGUAACUGGCAAGCUAGAGUGUGGCAGAGGGGGGUAGAAUUCCAGGUGUAGCAGUGAAAUGCGUAGAUAUCUGGAGGAAUACCGAUGGCGAAGGCAGCCCCCUGGGUUAACACUGACGCUCAUGCACGAAAGCGUGGGGAGCAAACAGGAUUAGAUACCCUGGUAGUCCACGCCCUAAACUAUGUCAACUGGUUGUCGGGGAAGCAAUUCCUUGGUAACGAAGCUAACGCGUGAAGUUGACCGCCUGGGGAGAC
rnacentral:rRNA from 1 species